GACGAACGCUGGCGGCGUGCUUAACACAUGCAAGUCGAACGGUAAGGCCCUUCGGGGUACACGAGUGGCGAACGGGUGAGUAACACGUGGGUGAUCUGCCCUGCACUUCGGGAUAAGCCUGGGAAACUGGGUCUAAUACCGGAUAGGACCUCUGCUUGCAUGGGCGGUGGUGGAAAGCUUUUGCGGUGUGGGAUGGGCCCGCGGCCUAUCAGCUUGUUGGUGGGGUGAUGGCCUACCAAGGCGACGACGGGUCGCCGGCCUGAGAGGGUGACCGGCCACACUGGGACUGAGAUACGGCCCAGACUCCUACGGGAGGCAGCAGUGGGGAAUAUUGCACAAUGGGCGCAAGCCUGAUGCAGCGACGCCGCGUGAGGGAUGACGGCCUUCGGGUUGUAAACCUCUCUCAGCACCGACGAAGCGCAAGUGACGGUAGGUGCGGAAGAAGGACCGGCCAACUACGUGCCAGCCGCCGCAGUAA
rnacentral:rRNA from 1 species